rnacentral:misc_RNA from 1 species
CCCCUCUCCUUUUUCUUAUAUGAAUAAGAUUUUGAUAUUCUUAAAAGAGCAAGAUGCAUGACUUAGAAAAGAAUUUACCAAAGAUAAUAUGAUUUUCAAGGAUAGAUCAUUCCAUAGAUAUUACAUUCCAAAGGAUUGUUUUUGAGGUUUGGUAGUUCAGAAGCAUUUUUCCUACAGCCUCUGAACGCCUUAUUUUAUCACUUUUGCCUGCAACUUACUCCAAAUCCACCUAGUGUCUCUGAAUACUUAAGCUUUUAAAAAUUUCAAGCAUUAAUCUACCUUCACUGAUCAUAUAACAGCCGCAGUUUUUGAAUUUAAAGGCUGUCCAACAUUAACAUAACUCAUGAAGUAAAUCGCAUCAAUAUUAAGUCAUAGCAUUCUUGAAACUGUAAUAUCUGGUAACUAAGCCAAUAACCCAUAGAAGUUGGUCCAUGGCUCCUCAAACUUGCCAUAGCACUCCAGAUAGUUAAGCCAAUUGUUUUACUCUCCCCACAAGAAGCCAACAAAACCUUGGAGCUACCUUUCUGUUAGGGAUUUAUUGUGGUACCCACAGGAUGUGUGUGUUUGGAGUUGGAAAUCCUGUGAACCAGCAAAAAGAGAAGAACCUUGUUUGCAGAGAGGUAAAAUACAAAGUUUUCGCAAAUUAUUUUGGUGCUAUUUUCACAAUAAGAUUCAUAUAGAAUUCCAUGUCAUUCCUAAAAUUGGAGUUUUGAUCAUUGAAUAGUUUAUAUAGUGAAAAUAACACCUAUUGUGAUAGACAAUACAAGAGCAAAUGGCCAAACCCCAAAUACUUGAAUGAGUGAAAGAUCACUUUUGCAUGUGGCUGUAGAAUUGGCUAGUCUCUAGCAUGUGGAAAAUGCGUGAAGUGCCAUUCUUGCAUGAGUUAUAAUGUGUUCGUAAAGUUGGUGUUAUCUUCUAGCUAGUUGGGGUCAUGGUGACAUGUUGUGGACCAAGCCAUGAAUCUGGUUGUUGCCAUUUGUUGUGUAAUUUUUGUUGUUGUAUUAGUGUUCUAAUGGUAGUAGGUCAUGUUAUACUAGUAGUAUUAUCUGACUAUUAUUUUUACAAAGAAUUUGUAUAAAUGAUGAAACUUAGCAUGAAUAGAAACAACCUUGGAGUAUAUUCACCUCUGUGGUUUGUUCCAACCCUAUAACUGGGACAUCUUUUAAUUUGAAUUUGUUGUUGGCUCUAUCACAUUGUAUUAAGAAUGUCACAGCGAUGUUUGCUUUGCUGUGGUAAUUGCUAUUCAAUGGCUAUAGGUUCUGCAUUAUUGAAUUGGUG